ensembl:snoRNA U3 Small nucleolar RNA U3
AUGGCUAUACUUUCAGGGAUCAUUUCUAUAGUGUGUUCGUUGUGAUUUAAAUACAUUAUUUUAGAAAAAAGUUACAAAAACCUGUGGUUAUGUGAACAGG